UGAAUGCGUCAAUACGUAUACGUGGUUUGAUUUUGAUUGUGGGCGCAGUGGCUGCUCUGUUUGGAAUAAGUAAUUAAUAUAAAUAACCAAACCAGUUGUUACACGUACUAUUUUAUCUCGAAAGGUCAAAUUAUGUUAAAUCCAAUACUGUGUUUGGUUUUGUUUUGAAAACAUGUUCCCGUUAUAACAGUAAAUAAUUUUAUGGGAUAUGUAACCGACAGCCUCAGUAAAACUACGUUUUUCGAAAGUCAGUAAAAUCAGUAUAUUUACCUCAUGAAAAGAACGGUACAAUUUGUAUAUCAUCUGAUAUAAUUCAAAAUUUUACAAAAAAUGAGAAAAACGCAUUUGGUUUAUAAUGAAUAUGAAUGACAAUCGUUAAGUCAUUUGUACUUAAAAAUGUUUAAUCGACAUAGAUAUUCAGCGAACCUUUUUUUAAGACAUUUUAUCCUAAAAAAAUAUUAAAAGACAUUAAUCAAAAUUGUUUCUAGUGAAAUUAUAAAACCGGGUAAAUCCUCAAAAAGUAUUGUUAUAAGAGCUGGUUGUAUUUGUUACCUCUUUAAGUGUUGUAAGCUUAAUCGAAUUGGUAUUUAUAAGACUUACUUGUAAAUAUAAAGCACAAAAAGGAACGACCAAUACUUUUUGGAGUGUGUAAAGAAAAAAUUACAAAGGUUAAAACUCAAGCUAGUUGGGUCUCUAUCACUUAUUAGAUAAUGGAAAUGUUACCAUGUUUAAACAAGUGACCGAGGUUAACAAUUUCUGCUGAUUUGGAGACCAAAAGAUGAAAAAAACUAUGGAGUUAUUUCGUUUAUGCAAAUAACUGAUUUUUCUAAGAACAUAUGUUGUGAAAAAAGGAAUUUGUUUUACCUUGAAAAGCCCAAUCACAGAAGGCUUUUCAGGGUUUGCAAAAUUAUUGAAAAUAUGAAUGUAGUUUCUUACCACACGAAUUAUACCACAUAUUAGCAAAUGUAUUAGCUCGAAGCUAUUCACCAUACGAUUCCAAGUCAAAAUGUUGGCAGGGAAAUUGAGGCAAAUCUAUCGUUAUCGCCAACAAAUGGAUUGCGUUCUAUAUAAUCUUUACCUAUACUAGUAACAUUUGAUUAUAAAUGAGCCAAACAGUUUAUAGCUACUGGAUUAAUCAAAUUGUUGAAUAUUUAGGAAUGACUUAGAUGAUAACUAAAGUUAAUUGAAAUCUGCCCUACCUUCCACAAAAAUAAACCAUUCGAGUUUUUUGGAAGAAUGCAGACAUUAAGUCUAUAAUUUUAUUUAGUUAGUUAUAAGUUAUUCUGUAGAGUGUAUUAACACAAAGAUAGUGUCUUUAAUUUCUUAUAUUUCUGAUUUUAUCAGCAAAUGGUUGUGAAGCUUGCAGCGUAAAAGGAGUUUGCUAUUCUGCCGAUGAACAAUGGUUAGAAAAAUGUUGGACGAAAAAAUGUACUGUUGAUUCCACUGGUUACCAAACAAGCUGGACAACAUCAAUAGUGAAAACACGUACGUAGACGUGUUAACAAAUCCAUAACAUGUCAGGGUUCACAGCUUGUGAUUAUUCUUACAUUUGAUUUCAAAAUAUCAACUUCACUGACGUAAAACAUUCUUUGUUACUACUUUACUGAUGUUUUAAAAUCAAGCUCUUGUUUUGAAUCGAAAAUGAAUAUCCUUUCAUUUCGUUAAAAAGAUAAUAUAAUUAAUUAAUGCAUAAAAGUAGUCUCAACGGCAAAUGAACCGUUAGAGACACAAAUAGUUCUUAUCUGUAAAACAUCUUGUCAAUUUAUUACUAAAACUCAGACAAGAAGCCAAGCUUAAUAUUUGGAAUGACAGGAACAUUGUUCGACUCCAUCCGAUUUGAAUGACAAAACGAAGAAUAUAUAAGCAGACAUGUAAUGAUUGAAGCAUUAAAACACAUAAUUAAAUGCUUACAGUUUCAAGUGUAGGAAAAUUGUUGAAUACAAUGAGCUGAUUGAAAACAAAACUCUAUGUAGCCAUUGUUGAUUGUUCAAAUGCUAAUUUAAUCUUUUCUUUUGUAGAGUGUGAGGAUACCAAUGGCAAAUGUAUUGAUCAUGGUCAACAGAAUUCGGACGGGUGUACAUGUAAUAUUUCUGGAACGAGAACGGAAUACAUCUGUGACGGU
rnacentral:lncRNA from 1 species